ACCCGCUGAACUUAAGCAUAUCAAUAAGCGGAGGAAAAGAAACCAACAGGGAUUGCCUCAGUAACGGCGAGUGAAGCGGCAACAGCUCAAAUUUGAAAUCUGGCUCUUUUAGGGUCCGAGUUGUAAUUUGUAGAAGAUGCUUUGGGUGAGGCUCCGGUCUAAGUUCCUUGGAACAGGACGUCAUAGAGGGUGAGAAUCCCGUACGUGACUGGUUGCCUUCGUCCGUGUAAAGCUCUUUCGACGAGUCGAGUUGUUUGGGAAUGCAGCUCAAAAUGGGUGGUAAAUUUCAUCUAAAGCUAAAUAUUGGCCAGAGACCGAUAGCGCACAAGUAGAGUGAUCGAAAGAUGAAAAGCACUUUGGAAAGAGAGUUAAACAGUACGUGAAAUUGUUGAAAGGGAAGCGCUUGCAACCAGACUUGCGCGCUGCUGAUCAUCCGAGGUUUUCCCCGGUGCACUCGGUAGCGCUCAGGCCAGCAUCGGUUUUGGCGGGCGGAUAAAGGCCUUGGGAAUGUAGCUUCUUUCGGGGAGUGUUAUAGCCCUCGGUGCAAUGCGCCCUGUCGGGACCGAGGACCGCGCUUCGGCUAGGAUGCUGGCGUAAUGGUUGUAAGCGACCCGUCUUGAAACACGG
rnacentral:rRNA from 1 species